GAUGAACGCUGGCGGCGUGCUUAACACAUGCAAGUCGAACGAAGCAUUUAGAACGGAUUACUUCGGUUUGAAGUUCUUUAUGACUGAGUGGCGGACGGGUGAGUAACGCGUGGGUAACCUGCCUUGUACUGGGGGAUAGCAGCUGGAAACGGCUGGUAAUACCGCAUAAGCGCACAAUGUUGCAUGACAUGGUGUGAAAAACUCCGGUGGUAUAAGAUGGACUCGCGUCUGAUUAGCUAGUUGGUGGGAUAACAGCCCACCAAGGCGACGAUCAGUAGCCGACCGGAGAGGGUGACCGGCCACAUUGGGACUGAGACACGGCCCAGACUCCUACGGGAGGCAGCAGUGGGGAAUAUUGCACAAUGGAGGAAACUCUGAUGCAGCGACGCCGCGUGAGUGAAGAAGUAAUUCGUUAUGUAAAGCUCUAUCAGCAGGGAAGAUAGUGACGGUACCUGACUAAGAAGCUCCGGCUAAAUACGUGCCAGCAGCCGUCGUAA
rnacentral:rRNA from 1 species